rnacentral:rRNA from 1 species
GACGAACGCUGGCGGCGUGCUUAACACAUGCAAGUCGAACGGAAAGGCCCUGCUUUUGUGGGGUGCUCGAGUGGCGAACGGGUGAGUAACACGUGAGUAACCUGCCCUUGACUUUGGGAUAACUUCAGGAAACUGGGGCUAAUACCGGAUAGGAGCUCCUGCUGCAUGGUGGGGGUUGGAAAGUUUGGGCGGUUGGGGAUGGACUCGCGGCUUAUCAGCUUGUUGGUGGGGUAGUGGCUUACCAAGGCUUUGACGGGUAGCCGGCCUGAGAGGGUGACCGGCCACAUUGGGACUGAGAUACGGCCCAGACUCCUACGGGAGGCAGCAGUGGGGAAUAUUGCACAAUGGGCGGAAGCCUGAUGCAGUAACGCCGCGUGCGGGAUGACGGCCUUCGGGUUGUAAACCGCUUUCGCCUGUGACGAAGCGUGAGUGACGGUAAUGGGUAAAGAAGCACCGGCUAACUACGUG